GAUGCAGAGAUGCCGCGUGAGUGAAGAAGGCCCUGUGGUGUAAAGCUCUUUCGUCGGGGAAGAUAAUGACUGUACCCGAGAUAAGAAGGUCCGGCUAACUUCGUGCCAGCAGCCGCGGUA
rnacentral:rRNA from 1 species